rnacentral:misc_RNA from 1 species
GUUACAUGAUGCAGUAGAUACACACAGCGUAGAAGCGACAACAGUGACCUUUCAUGAUGUAGAUACGCAGAGCGGAGAAGUGGCAAUAAGGAUCUUAGAUAAUGAAGCAGAUAUACAGAGCCGAGAAGUGGCAACAGAGACCUUACGUGAUGCAGUGGAUACACAGCAUAGUGAACUGGCAACGGAGAUGUUACAUGAUGU